rnacentral:rRNA from 1 species
CCCGCUACAGAAACUUAAAUGAAUUGACGGGACCCCGCACAAGCGGUGGAUCAUGUUGUUUAAUUCGAUGAUACGCGAAGAACCUUACCAGGUCUUGACAUCCCCCGCGAUGCUUUAGAGAUAAAGCGGAGGUAUUCGGGGAGACAGGUGGUGCAUGGUUGUCGUCAGCUCGUGUCGUGAGAUGUUGGGUUAAGUCCCGCAACGAGCGCAACCCCUAUUGCUAGUUACCAUCAUUAAGUUGGGGACUCUAGCGAGACUGCCAGUGAUAAACUGGAGGAAGGUGGGGAUGACGUCAAAUCAUCAUGCCCCUUAUGACCUGGGCUACAAACGUGAUACAAUGGCUGGAACAAAGGGAUGCGAAGCAGUGAUGUGGAGCGAAACCCAUAAAAACAGUCUCAGUUCGGAUUGAAGUCUGCAACUCGACUUCAUGAAGUCGGAAUCGCUAGUAAUCGCGGAUCAGAACGCCGCGGUGAAUACGUUCUCGGGGUUU